AUACUUACCUGGACGGGGUCGAUGGAUGAUCCAUAAGACCCAUGGUGUAGUUUGGCGACCUCCAUUGCACUUUGGAGGGUGUCCGCCUAAGGUCGCCCCAGGUGGUUGAGCCUACGUCAUAAUUUGUGUCAGAGGGGCCUGCGUUCGCGCGGCCCCUGC